GUCUUGUGAAGGAUGCUGGAGGUAUCAGAAGUGCGAAUGCUGACAUAAGUAACGAUAAGGGGAGUGAAAAACUUCCCCGCCGGAAGACCAAGGGUUCCUAUCCCAUGCUAAUCAGGGUAGGGUAAGUCGGCCCCUAAGGCGAGGGCGAAAGCCGUAGUCGAGGGGAAACGGGUUAAUAUUCCCGUACCGACAGUACUGCGAUGGGGGGACGGAGAAGGCUAGGCAGGCAUGGCGUUGGUAGUCCAUGUGAAAGUAUGUAGGUUGGGCGUUUAGGAAAAUCCGGAUGCCUAAGCCUGAGAUACGAGACGAGCCA
rnacentral:rRNA from 1 species